rnacentral:misc_RNA from 1 species
AAACCUCAAAUAUGUCGACUGAGCUGCUCCUCCUGGUCGCCACUUUGGCGAUCGUUUUCUAUAUUUGGCAGAGGCGAGCCUUCAGCUUCUGGCAGCGCCAUGGAGUCAAGUACAUUCGACCCCUGCCCUUUCUGGGCUGCACCCGAGAGUUCCUAACGGCCCGAGUUCCAUUCUUCGAGCAAAUAAAAAAGUUCCAUGAGGCCCCCGGCUUCGAAAAGGAGCCCUUUGUGGGCGUCUAUUUGGCCUACAAGCCGGCCCUGGUCGUUCGCGACCUAGACCUGAUAAAGACGGUGAUGAUCAAGAAGUUCCAGUACUUCCACAACCGCGUCCUGCAAACGGAUCCGCACAACGAUGCCCUCGGCUUCAACAAUCUCUUCUUCGCCCGCAGCCCAGAGUGGAAGGAGCUGCGCCACAAGAUCUCCCCCGUGUUCACUUCUGGGAAGAUUAAGCAGAUGUAUCCUCUAAUGGUCAAGAUCGGCAAGGACCUUGAGAGCAGUGCCGAGAGACUGGCCGGUGCGUCACCGGUUCCGAUUAAGGAUCUGUGCGCCCGCUUCACCACCGACCUGAUUGCUACCAUUGCCUUCGGCGUGGAGGCCAACGCGUUAAAGGAUGCGAAGAGCGAGUUCUUCUACCACAACCAGGCCAUCUUUGCUUUGACAUGGAGCAGGGCCAUCGACUUCACCAUUAUCUUUAUGCUGCCUGCCCUGGUGUCCAUUGCACGUGUGAAGCUCUUCUCAAAGGAGACCACCAAGUUCAUCAGGAACACCAUCAACUACGUCCUGUCCGAGCGCGAACGGACGGGCGUUAAGAGAAACGACCUCGUGGACAUUCUGCUGGCUCUGAAGAGGGAGGCGGAAGCUAACCCCGAUCAGCUCCAAAAGUACAAGGACCUGGACUACCUCGUAGCCCAAGCCGCUGUCUUUCAAACGGCUGGGUUCGAGACGAGCUCAUCAACCAUGACUCUGACUCUAUACCACCUCGCCCAAAACGAGUCCCUGCAGGACCGCCUGUGUCAGGAAAUUACCGAAUACCUCGGAGACGAGGAUCACGUCAGCUACGAUCGCAUCCAGCAGAUGCCCUACCUUUCGCAGGUGGUGAAUGAGACAUUGCGAAUGUACCCCAUCGUUGGAUAUGCUGAGCGACAAUGUGCUCAGCCCGCGGAGGGCGAAAAGUUCACCCUGGAGCCGCACAGCUCCAUGGAACUACCGCACGGCAUGGCCGUAUAUGUGUCCGCCAUUGCCAUCCAUCAUGAUCCGCAGUACUGGCCGGAGCCGGAAAAGUUCGACCCGGACCGUUUCGACCCCGCCAAUCGCAGCAACCUGAACAUGGACGCAUACAUGCCCUUCGGCGUGGGUCCGCGCAACUGCAUUGGAAUGCGUCUGGGCCUUCUGCAGUCGAAACUGGGUCUGGUGCACCUGUUGCGCCACCACCGGGUCCACGCGACCGACCAGACCCCGAAGAAAAUUGAGUGGGCAGCCACUAGUCCGCUGAUCGCCUCGAAGCACGAAAUAUAUUUGCGGCUGGAAAAGGUGUCUAGUUAGAGGAUAGCCGGAAGAUUUGAACUCGGAUGCACAAUCCGGGAUGAGUGUAGAUGGUUUCCAAACCCAGGGAACCAGACUAGUAGGAGGUGUUCGAUCUCCAAAGUCCAUCUUAAGGCCCAUCGGAUGUUCUGCAAGAGCAAAAAUGCCAUGGCUUCAAAUAAAACUAGUAACUAGGCAGGGGAAGUUGUAUUUGUUUUCCGUAUAUUUUCAUUUCUCAGCGCAUUACAAGAUCUUCGUGUUCGUCUCUUCUACUAAGUUGUGUAUAUAGAGUUCAAUAAUAUAUGUAUAUAAUUCUUUUGAUUACAUUAGUUACAUGGUAAGCAACAGGGCUGCUGUUCCGUGUGUUUGUGUCUCUCUGGUGUGUGGGAUUGGAUAUCCUUUUGGGAUCCUGGCCAGAACUGAAUCUAAAACCAAUCUGGCCAUUCAUCGAAAUAAGUUAGGUUUAGCAAUACAUUUUGUGGUAUACACUUGUAUAUAUAUGUAUGUGGUAUGGUUAUGUACGUACGCCUGUUAAAUGCCAUACUCUCUGCAAUUAAUUAAAGCGGUUGCAAUAUUAACAUUACGAAUUAUGGUUAUGAUAUCGAAUAUAUAUGUAUCUUGCACUGUAAACUGCUCUAUUUACAAACGCAUGUCUGGAUAAUCUGAUAGGGAGGGUCGCUGGUCGCUCCUAAGGACCGACCUCGAAAUGGAACUCGAAAGGUAAAUGAAUGAAACUCGAUUCCCGGAGCUGUGCUUAUCCUAAACAGACUGUAUCCGAAUUUAGCAAAAUAUGUGUGUGUUAGCCUACGGUUGGUUGCUUUCCCCUUGUAUCCUUUUCCUCUGUGUACUACGCGUAUGUAUAUAUGUACUCCCUUGUGUGUUUCGGUUCCGAUUGCUCGGAUCCCUUUGGUUUAUUUGUUAUUUGUUCAUUUCAGAAAACUUUUCUCGAAAAAUUCAUUGUGUUCUAUGCUUGCAAAAAUUUGAGGUAGUUUUAUUUUAUUUGAAUUUCCUUCCCUUCUCGUUAUUUUUGUGUUCUUUGAUAUUUAUCCUGCUUAAUUUUCGAUUUUUAAUUUUUAGUCGUUCCUAAUAUUGGAAAAUCGACCGCAUCGAAGGCAUCACACGACGAACCGAAUGGAAGAUUCAGCUGAGAUUGUUCAUCAGCCACUUUCCUAAAAGAUAUUGCUUCAGAUUAUGCUUUCGAGCUGCGAUCGGGACCUACAAAAUGUCCUACAAAUCCUCCGCCAACUCGAGUCUCUUCAAAAUACUUUCGGUAGAUACAUACAUAUACUUGAUUCUGGCUUAGCAGCUAAUCUAAUGGGCCACAGAGACCUUCUAAUUUAGACAACACUCAGAUAUACUUGAUAUAAACACUUCUUAGCGAGCUACUACUGUUGCAACACAGGGAACCUAUUCGCAGCAAAUGGGAGAGUCUAGUCUAGUGUGGGGCGAAGCGCUUUCCAUUCUGCACUUAUGUAACUAUCAGUCGUUCUUAACAACUGUGUUCUGUUGUUCCAUUACAUUUGGCAGUGUCGAGUUUUCAUCUUAUUUGUUUUAUUAUUAGUCGUAUCUCGGCUCAUAAGGGGGUUACUUACUUUAAACUUAUGCAUAGGUUCAUUGGCAUAGGAAAUUAUGAAGUACGGUUAGGUUUAAGGCGAAUUUAGCUUAUAUGCUGGGGGACUCGGAUUCGGAUUCGGAUUCUGAUUCUGAUUCGGGAUAUGUAUGCAAAUCAGAAGCGAAAGCCAAACCAGUCGGGUGUUUCGGCUUCUGCUCCUGCCGGCAGAUACAAACAAAAGGGAAGAACAAGUGGUUUGCGUUCAUUUCUGAUUCUCUUCGAUAACUUUAUUUUGCAUAGUUCCUUGGGGUUUGUGGUUGCCUUGGCUAAGUUAUAAAUGAAUAGUUAAUUACUUUUGGGCGCGUCCCUUUCACACUAUCUACAGAGCACGAGGCGCUCUAGGGGUCUAGAGCUCCCGAAAACGUAAUGGGCAGCCGUCAAAUGGUCGUCAAGUGGCGCAGUUCGCACU